AACUAAAAACGAUUCUGAGCAGAGUUCAUUUAUACAUGGUUUGAAAGACCGUAAUAUUUCCGAUUUGAAAAUAAUAUAUUUCGUAAAUUUUUCAAUUUUUUCUACGUUUUUUCUCGAUUUUUCCCAUUCAUCAUGAAAAUCCCUAAAAAUAUCAAAAAAUUGCAAUCCUAGUCAAAGUUCCUAUCAGAAAAUGUGUUAUACUUGAAAAUCAUAGCGAAAAUUCUGGUAAAUAAGUUGUUCACCUCCCCCCCUCUACGAUUGGGAAUUACUACAUAAGAAGAAGAAGAAUUUCUCUAACAUUUCAGCAGUGUUCAAUUUACUUGUUUCAGUAAAAUAAUAGUAAGUAGUAAAAUUUGUAAUUUUUGGUGACAAACUUAAUUAUAACAACUAUAGAGGAAUAUCACUGCUGAACACGACAUAUAAGAUAUUCUCAAAAAUAUUACUAGGAAGAUUAUAACCCUUUGCAGAUGAAUAUAUAGGGGAGUAUCAAUGCG